UACGGAGGGUGCGCGCGUUGUCCGGAAUCAUUGGGCGUAAAGGGUGCGUAGGCGGCGCGGUAAGUCGGGUGUGAAAUCUCGGGGCUUAACUCCGAAACUGCAUUCGAUACUGCCGUGCUUGAGGACUGGAGAGGAGACUGGAAUUUACGGUGUAGCGGUGAAAUGCGUAGAUAUCGGGAGGAACAUCAGUGGCGAAGGCGGCCUUCUGGUCCAGUACUGACACUCAAGUGCGAAAGCGUGGGGAGCAAACAGG
rnacentral:rRNA from 1 species